UCCGACCUCAGAUCGGACGAGAUUACCCGCUGAAUUUAAGCAUAUAACUAAGCGGAGGAAAAGAAACUAACAAGGAUUUCCCCAGUAACGGCGAGUGAAGCGGGAAGAGCCCAGCACCGAAUCCCUCAGUGUCACGCUGACGGGAACUGUGGUGUGCGGGACGCCACCAGUCGCACCAGAGGGCACCGAAGUCCUCCUGAUCGGGGCUUCACCCAGAGCGGGUGUAAGGCCUUUGCUGGUGCCUCUCUGUGCGGCCGCGAGCGUCUCAGGAGUCGGGUUGUUUGGGAAUGCAGCCCAAAGCGGGUGGUAAACCCCAUCUAAGGCUAAAUACUGGCACGAGUCCGAUAGCGGACAAGUACCGUGAGGGAAAGU
rnacentral:rRNA from 1 species